rnacentral:rRNA from 1 species
GACGAACGCUGGCGGCGUGCUUAACACAUGCAAGUCGAACGGAAAGGCCCUGCUUUUGUGGGGUGCUCGAGUGGCGAACGGGUGAGUAACACGUGAGUAACCUGCCCUUGACUUUGGGAUAACUUCAGGAAACUGGGGCUAAUACCGGAUAGGAGCUCCUGCUGCAUGGUGGGGGUUGGAAAGUUUCGGCGGUUGGGGAUGGACUCGCGGCUUAUCAGCUUGUUGGUGGGGUAGUGGCUUACCAAGGCUUUGACGGGUAGCCGGCCUGAGAGGGUGACCGGCCACAUUGGGACUGAGAUACGGCCCAGACUCCUACGGGAGGCAGCAGUGGGGAAUAUUGCACAAUGGGCGGAAGCCUGAUGCAGCAACGCCGCGUGCGGGAUGACGGCCUUCGGGUUGUAAACCGCUUUCGCCUGUGACGAAGCGUGAGUGACGGUAAUGGGUAAAGAAGCACCGGCUAACUACGUGCCAGCAGCCGCGGUGAUACGUAGGGUGCGAGCGUUGUCCGGAUUUAUUGGGCGUAAAGGGCUCGUAGGUGGUUGAUCGCGUCGGAAGUGUAAUCUUGGGGCUUAACCCUGAGCGUGCUUUCGAUACGGGUUGACUUGAGGAAGGUAGGGGAGAAUGGAAUUCCUGGUGGAGCGGUGGAAUGCGCAGAUAUCAGGAGGAACACCAGUGGCGAAGGCGGUUCUCUGGGCCUUUCCUGACGCUGAGGAGCGAAAGCGUGGGGAGCGAACAGGCUUAGAUACCCUGGUAGUCCACGCUGUAAACGGUGGGUACUAGGUGUGGGGUCCAUUCCACGGGUUCCGUGCCGUAGCUAACGCUUUAAGUACCCCGCCUGGGGAGUACGGCCGCAAGGCUAAAACUCAAAGGAAUUGACGGGGCCCCGCACAAGCGGCGGAGCAUGCGGAUUAAUUCGAUGCAACGCGUAGAACCUUACCUGGGUUUGACAUGGAUCGGGAGCGCUCAGAGAUGGGUGUGCCUCUUUUGGGGUCGGUUCACAGGUGGUGCAUGGCUGUCGUCAGCUCGUGUCGUGAGAUGUUGGGUUAAGUCCCGCGACGAGCGCAACCCUUGUUCACUGUUGCCAGCACGUUAUGGUGGGGACUCAGUGGAGACCGCCGGGGUCAACUCGGAGGAAGGUGGGGAUGACGUCAAGUCAUCAUGCCCCUUAUGUCCAGGGCUUCACGCAUGCUACAAUGGCUGGUACAGAGAGUGGCGAGCCUGUGAGGGUGAGCGAAUCUCGGAAAGCCGGUCUCAGUUCGGAUUGGGGUCUGCAACUCGACCUCAUGAAGUCGGAGUCGCUAGUAAUCGCAGAUCAGCAACGCUGCGGUGAAUACGUUCCCGGG